UUAGUUAAAACUCGCCAAAUUGCUGGGAAGCCCUAAAGCCCUUAGGCCAAAGCGAAGUCUGAAAAGAUAAGCGUAAAGGAGCGAGAGCAGAAAAAAGUUAAGGGAUUUAAUAAAAGCCGUAAGGCAGUUAUUAAAAACAAUGGGUAAUCAGCAGCCAAGCCUCUAUUUUAAAGGGGAAGGUUCAACGAACAGAGGGUGAGUAUCUUCUUGGUAAAUACGCUAUAAAAGGUUCAAGAAGAUAAUGGUAUGUUCUAGCCCCACUCUGAAAGGAU
rnacentral:ncRNA from 1 species